ensembl:lncRNA
UGUUGAACAGUUCUGAAGGAAAGGGGCAUCACACAGAGACAUAUUUCACAUGAAAUUACAGCCUCAUUCCUCUCCCCUUUCACUUUUCCAUUUAUCAGUUCUAUCCUCCUGCUCUCCCCCCCCACACGCCCCUGGAAUUAUUGAUGAUUAUGAAAGAGCAUGAAGUCUUCAUAAUAAGGAACAUUUUCGUCCAUUAUCUGGAGAAUAAUAUGGUUUAUUCAAUACAUUCCCUCGGAGAAAAAAAAAAAAGAAAGAAAAAAAAGAAACCCCAAAACGUUUAGGUCUGCUGUAAAUAGAUGCUUUUUUCCCAGGACAACAGAUUGCGCUGAACGACUCAGUUUUCUUUUGGGAUUAUAAAGGUACAGAACAGUUCUGUCUGGGGAUGGUGGUUUUCCUUGAGGCAAAUGCUGACCAACACGUGGUGCCCGCUGCUGGUGUUAACAGGAGUAGACACCGUUCCCCGUUGGGCCCUUCCCUAGCAGAGCCCUCAGCAGCCUCUGCAAGCAGAGGGAAGUGAGGAAGCUUCAGUUUGCGUGCUGCAGAGGUAUGGAGCUGUCCUACCCCGAACCCGGCUGAGGAGGAAGGCCGCAUUCCCACGCAGUGGGACAGCAGAGCGGGAGGCCGUAGGAGAACCUUAGCAACGACGGCACGGUCCCCUUCUUACCGCUCCUCAGAAACGAGAGAAGCAAUUGCACAGCAGCCUCGCCUGUCCGUGAGAGGUACUGCAUGAGAAGCACGCAAGAGUGGAGCGACCUCAGUCAGCUCGUCACUGCCUUUUCUAAAGGCAGGCAGCCACAGCAGAAUGCCCCUCGAAUCGCUGCAGACAGAAGCCAGAUUUCUGUAGGACCGGACAGUUCGUUCUGUAAACCCACAGCAUCCACACAGGGAUCUCUGCCAACGGCCACUGGCAGGAACACUACCGGCUUCUUCAGGCUUGCGGGGCAAAGUCGGUUAGGUUUGCAAGGAAGAACAAGCUGAAAUAAAACUGCACAGAUCAGUGUGCCUUGCCUUAAUUAAACUGUGCGACCGUCACACAGCUGACACCUCCAAUGCGGACACAAAGGAGUCACAUAUGUGCCCCGGUUAAUGGCGCUUUGUUUUCUGACAGAACUUUUCAGGUGGAGCUUUAUGGGGUGAGCCUCCGUUCAAUGGGCGCCAGAAGCUGCCCCAUGUGGGACCAGGUCUCCUCAGCUGCUGGAUGUGUUCCAGAAGGCACUUGAAAAGUCAAGAUUGCCAAGAGAAUAAUUGGAAAAGAUGUGCGUGUUUUUCUGAGUCUGUGAUUUUUUGUUUUGCCACCCAGCCUGAGUGUGCUACGAAGGAGCCUGCCGCCUUGUGUGCUCUGUGCACUCACAGGACAGGCAGGAGAGCGUGUUCUAAAUAGCCCUCAGCCCCAGAGUGCCCUGCUCUCUGCCCAGUGGCUGUAGCUACUGCUGCCAGUGAGCUCCAGCCAGUCUGGAGACACGUGGGGCUCUGGUCAGUUUUGAAUGGUGGCCAUAAAGCCAAGGUAGUGUUGGUAUGUCUUUGCAAGAGGAUGGAUAUGCAUACACAUACAUAUAUCAACACAGCAGAGAAAGAAGAACAAAGGCAGAAUGCAAUGGAUCCACCCCAGCAAGACUGCAGCCAUUGCCCCUCUCAUCUUCCGCCCCGUCUCUGAAGGCCUCUCAGCACUCUGAGCAUACAAAUGCCCUCCUGCAAAGUGGGCUCCAAUGGGUUCUGCACCGAAGCAAGGAAGUUCAGCGCACGAGCAGCCUGCAAGAUCAGCCCUCUGGGACAAGCAGUCUGUGCUCAGUGUCAGACACAUCAGGGAGCCGAAAUUGAAAAGCUAGUCCAGUGCUUGCUGGGCACAGGGCUUCCAUGACGUGAUUUCAAAUGGCUAUGUUGCUUUUACACUUGACAGUAAAGCAUAAGCACCUGACUGAUUACAUGGUGUUUUUUUCUCCAAAAAGGGGGGGGGGGAAAUCUAUCAGUGCUGUGCUGCAUUUUUAACGUUGCCAGACCUGAAGUAAUGAAUGUUUGCUGUGGGUGUUUCAGGACCACUCUGUCCGCUCAGUGUUUGUGAAUGUACGAUCGUUGCUUUCCUCUGACAGAUAAUUAAUGGGUUCUCAGAGAGAAUCUGCUUUCUAGAGGUGAGAAAAAUGAUUUAUGCAAAGAAACAACAGCAAACAUGGCUGUAAAGGAAAUAUACACAUUUGGCUUGGAUUAUGAGAGAGAAAACCUUUCAGCAAGCAAAGUGCUGUUGGCUCAGGCUGUUUCUGAGUAGAAAAAAAUACCUGUAAUUUUUCCUUUGUUCUAUUGCUCGUGAUAUGGAGACUUCAGAUUUAAAGUUAUUUUCUCCAUGCCUGCUUUUAUCAAUACGAUAUCUUUCCAAUGACCUCGUUCAUCCUGGCUGCAUAACAUUGUGCCAUUUGCAACCCAUUACGGCAUGUUUUUCCAAUGAUUGGCAAUAGAGUGCAAUAUAAAGUUGUUUAUAAGGCAGCUUCUUGAGUAUAUGGCUUAGCAGAAGUAAAAGAUAUUGAAAAUAAAUGCUUCCAGAGCCAUCAUCUUUUUUAUUUGCUCAUAAAACUGUUUUGGAACUUGAAUAUUAAAGUGUAAAAUUUAAGCCAAAUUGAAGUGCUGAAAUGUUUACUGAGAGCCAUAUUUUAGGACCAAGUAACUUCAAAAGCAUUAAGAAAACAAAAAAACGGGAUUUGAGGACAGAGCAGGAAAACCCAAACAGCGUGGCUUAGCUACAAAACACUGCGUUCACUGAGAGUGGGAAAGCAGUAAAUAGCCCACUCAUAAGGGCACUUCACAUUGACAAACCCCAGCGAACGCAAGAGGCUGAGAGCCACAUUCAAGCCCCUUUGAACGUCAGGUGAAAAAUAUGAAGCCAAUGCACACAGACUUUUCCUUAGAAGAAGCAAGUCUCUGCCAGUUUACGGUCGUGGAACUUUGCUAAUUUCAGUACAGGGCUCGGAUGGCAUCUGCAAGUGAUCUGCAUUUAGCAACGCUCCCAGGAAGCGAGUGUGCUGGUAUGCCUGUGUGAUGGACAACUUGCUUUGAACAGGUAUUUGUAACAGGCUUUGCCAUCAGAUUUUGCUGUCCCUCCUUUCUGGGAUGGGAAACGAUCCCCACGAGGUGCUCUGUGCUGUGUUGGGCAAUUCUGUUGCUUUCCACAUCUUCCACUGUUUUUGCAUCGCUGUGAAAAAAGAAAAAAAAAGCAGCACGAAGUGGAAAAAGCUCAUGUUUUCAUAGAGAGCACAGAGGCAGUUCCUGUCAGUCUAUAGAGCACACUGUGCAUGAUGGCCCAACUAUUUUUCUUUCCUGCAAAAAAGAUUCCCUUGAGCAAUCCCAGCUCCAAACCAGUUGGCAACCAGCAGCAGCCGAGCGCUCCAGACCGUGCUGCAUCACAAUACAGUUACAACUAUUUAAAACCCAAUUAAUUCUCUUUCGUACUUUCCCAUCAAGCUGUAAAGCUCCAGUUGGCAAGGCUUUUCGCUUUGAUUUUGAGUUCCUGCUUGGAAGAUUAACUGAAAAUGGAUUUGGCUUGAAUAGUCGCAGCGAACACAUUUUGGUUUAUUUUGUUGCCAUCUCGAAUAACAAUACUUAGCACUCUUCGUCUUCAAAGCAUUAUACAAACAUUGAGUCACAUCCCUCACAACGCUGCUGUGACAUCACCUCCUGUAAAUAAAGCCAUUCUCCUCGCAGGAGGUGGAGGCUGAGCAAGGGCCUGGCGACUUGUGCAGGGUGACAGGAAGAGAAGGGCAGAGGUGGAUGUAGAAGCCAGGGGUUUGCAAGAGCCUUCAGCCCCUGAGUUAAUCGUCUCCACUCCUUCCCUCACCCUCAAGGAGAGGUGAGAAGGUGUGCCACAGCCAUGCUGACCCUCUGGAGCAGGGCACGUCCAGCAAGGGUGUACACCUCUCUCUCCAAGCUCUGCUCUGCUCUCUGCCAGUCACCCCAGAGCACUCUAGCAAUGUACUCUCAGUGAGGAGGUUUGCUCCUGUGAAAGCUUCCUGACUUCUAGGCUGACCAAAGCUGUCCCUUGCCCUGACAAGGCUGUGAUCUGGCAACGCUUGGCAAAGACCCUCUCCUCCUUGCUCAGCAAUACAGGUUCACAGCAAGGUCUGUGCUACGAGGUCUCUCCUGCCCUGCUCAGCAAAUGAGAAGCAUGCAGGGUUUGAACAGGGCACAGUUUGUACACGGCUAACACACUGGGCCUUCCCUGACAUGGGACCUGUGUGCCUGAAUUAGGAGCCUCAGGUCGCUCUGUACUCAAUAGAGAAAGGUGAGUCCUUUCAGGGGUAAUUCCAAGACGUUAAUUUAGGCUCUGGUGACUACAGAGAGAGCCUGUGCUCCUAAAUUAGACAUCUAAAUCAGCAGUCUGUGUGAAGCAGAUUUUGUGUGAAUAUAGCCCUACAAAUACAUACUCUGCAGUACCGUGAAGUGAACUAAUGUCAAACACGCAGAGCGUGUAGUUCUCAUAGCUUCUUCUCUUGAAGAAAACUGACAGAGCAAAUAUACAUUUUAUGUUCCUUUGGACAUCUUGUUUUCUCCCUCAUUUGGCUUCUUCCUAAACACGUGAAGAGAUAUUUCAGACUAAAAGAAUUGGAUUACUCUCUAUGAAGCUGUAAUGUUACCCACAGAUCUCUUGCUAAACAUUCCAAGGCACAAGCAAGGCAACUGCAUCUCCUAAGGAGCAUGACAGGUGUGUGGAAACCAAAUUGAGCAGGUUUUGUUGCAUUUAUGCCUCUCCCUGUGGUCUUGUACCCUUAUUUCUAGACCUGAAGGUGUUGUGAAGAAAUCACAUCACCAAGAGGCUGAAUGAGCCAGAAAUGAAGACACUGGCCUAGGGUCAUACCCAGGCCCGUUAUUUCUGCUGCAUGGCUUAGAACAAGUUAUUGCACCUCCAUUCCUUUCAGGAGGUAGCCUUGGUCUCAGGAGAUGCUCAGGUGCUUCCUAUAACAAAUCCUAGUGCUGUUUUUUGAGUUAUGUGAAAAUUGUUGGUAGAAUUCUCAACAGUGUUACCCAAACAGCAGAGCUGAGGCCUGCUGGUGGGCAACAUAAGCAGGCUUGCUUGGUGGUACCCCCGUGCUCUUCCUUCUUCUGACAAAAUUUCAAGCCAUUAAGGAGAACAGGCAACAGCUCUGUCAAAGUCUUAGAGAUGCUUCUGGAUCAUCUUAAAGCAGGGAAAUAUUUGCAAGAACUCUAGCUCACAGAAAAUGGUUCAGGGGUAUUGCAGAAGGGAAAAAAAAUAGAAGAAAGGGAAAAAAAAAAAAAGGCCAUUUUAAUAUAUAUUUUAUGGUGUGGUUCUGUGAUUAAACUGUACAAUUGUACCAGUCCAGGUUAGCCCUCCUCCUCUGCAGAGACAAUAAUAUGAGGUGUGCACAUCCUCACUGUUCACAAAAAAGCUUUGGCCCUCCAAAAUAAUCUCAUUUCUUCCUGCCUCAACUACAGGAAAUUCCAUCAGAGAGAAAGGUCCUGAAACUAUGAAAGCUGGAGCCAGUGAAUCUGACCACAGAAGGACCAAUGAAACUGUUCAAAACCUCACCUAUAGGCUACAUCACCCUUGCUGCUCUUCUCAGUGUAGGUCGUGUAUUUCUGACAUCUCUAAUUAAAAGGAAAAACAAAAAUGCCAAUAGGCAGCUUUUCAAGUAGCAAGUCUUACUUCCAAAGGCUGACAUUGUUAGGAGCACAGAUUCAGCCUAUGUCUUCAGCAGCACUUCCUUGCACUCUAAUUCUUGCACAGAGAGCCAUUUGUGUCCUUUCUAUCAGCGAGGUAGAAGGAACACAUAAGGAAGCAAGAGCACGUAACCAAACACAAGAAUAGAAAGAGGAUGUCAUUAAAGGAAUUUUGGUGAAACUUUCUCUCCCAUUUGGUGGCUUUUGCUUUAUUCUGGAUACCCUUCACUUCUUCAGAGUUUGCGCUAACAAAUUCACACCCAGGGAUUGAAGUAAACCCAUCACCUGGACUCUAUGAAGUGCAUAAGGAUUCCAUAGCUGUGUAUUUGUCAUCCAUCUCCAGGCUUUCUAGUUGCAGGAUGGCGAAGUACUGCAGGAUAAACUGUGUGAUGAAAAAAGCAGAAACAAAAUCUUGUACUGUUCCUUUUGGAUUCCUAUGUGAAUUAAAGAGGUGAAUUAAAGAGGUGCAGAAGGAUGAGUUCUAAAUUGAUACUUCUCAUUCCAUGAUCUCUGGAGGUCCCUAUCAACCCCUACAAUUCUGUGAUUCUAUGACAAUUCUAAUAAAGAUAGCAGGGUACCAACACUGAAAGCUGGAUCAGGUUCACAUUCCCACUAGCAAUUCUGUAUACCACAUUUCAGAUCUUCUAUUAACCUCUACUGAAGUUUCAGAUAGUACCUCUUACGGGUACAGAAUUAUAUCCCCGUGUUUCAUAUAGCCUUCACUUCACUGUUUUUCAGGUAUAAUGAGGUGAUGAGCUGAGGAAUAAAAAGGAAGAGAAUGGGCAGGGUAAGUACGUAGACACCAAGAGACUAUAUGUAUUUAUUACUUCAAAGUGAAAAUGCAUCGCAGACAGGAAGGGGAAAAGGCACUCAGUAAAAGUACUUUCAGCAGAGCAAUUUAAAAUUAUUCACAUAUUCCUUGGAAAGAAUCCAUAGCUCUUUCAUCUGGUAACAGUAGUACUGUGUUCGGAAACAGCACUUAGAAAUGUUGGAUUAAACAGCUAUCUUGUAAAAAUCAGGUGGAGGCCAUUAGUCCCAUUCAUCUGUAACCAGCCUUAAAACCCUCCUAAGAAAGCAGAGAGAUGCAGCAAAGGGCACGUGUUAGGAGGAAGGAAAAGCACUAGUGAUACAAAACAAAAGCGUUGCUGUUGUGAUUUUUCUUCUUCAAGGGUAAACUUGGUUGGCCUGAUGGUAAUACCUGGUUAACAGCUCCAUCUCACCAAUGGCUCCACCGCCACGCAGUGCAUGCUUACAGACAGUGGUAAUACAAAGGAAUGGUCAGAACUGGAACGGCCCUUUCAUAGAUUAACACUUAACCUUUGCAAGUUCAUAGAAUCAUUGAGUCAUAGGAUCACCAAGGUUGGAGAAGAUCCACAGGAUCACCCAGUCCAACCAUUCACCCAUCAGCAGUAGUUCUCAUUAAACCACAUCCCUCAGCACAACAGUCCAAACAUUCCUUGAACAUCCCCAGGGUUGCUGACUCCACCACCUCUCCAGGCAGCCCAUUCCAGUGCCUAUUCACUGUUUUCAUCAUGUACUUUCACACACUGAGAGUCUCUUAAAGCAACGUAAAGACAGUAAUUUACACACGAAGGUGCUGGAUGCAUUUUACACAUAGGCAACUUGCAGCACCAAAGUCAACAUCCUCACCUGAGGUAAAGCAUAAAGCUCUGGUAAUGAGGAGCACAAAUGCAUGGGGCCAGAUCUUCUGCUUAGCAACACUGCAUUGAAAUAAGUGGAAAUAAGGGGAUGUGUAGGUAACGCUUGGUUUUGAAUCAGCUGGUCUGGCCCAGGGAGUGCAGACUGCAAACAAAGCAGUAUGGGUCGAACGGGAGCACAAAUAGAGCCCAGCCAGACCAGGCAGAGAGGAAGCUCUGUGGGCUGUAACAGCACGGAUUCCCUCUUUAGUUAUAGCUGUCACUCCAAAUAGCUCCUGAAUAGUACUUUCAUGAAAAUUCCACUGCUAAAAUAAUAAACAAGCAAGUAAAGUAGGGGCCAUAAAUACAGAAAUAAAGAAUAAAAAUAUACCUGUGUGCACAUUUAUACAUGUGUGUAUGUGUAAAGAUGUACACAGAGAGAGAAAUGUUCUCAGUUAAACCCCAAACACCACAGAAAAAGAAUUUGGUGUUCUUGCAGAGCCUAUGGACAGAAAAAGCCCAGCAACUGUGGCCAUUAAAGAUAUAGAGUAGAUUUCUUUAAAAAGCAAGAGGGGAAAACCCAGGAGUCAUCAGGGUGCCUUUCAUUAGACGGGCCAGCUUAAUUAAUUAAUUUGUUCAAUUUGCUGCUCUUCUGUGCAUCAGUGUAAAUGCAGACUCAAGAGCAGGAGGCUAGAGGUGAUGGGAAUGAAGCUCAUUAGGAAGCAAUAAAGAAGGAAGAGACACCAGAAAAUGAAUGCUAGUUCAUUGGGAGAAUUCUUAAAAAUGCCAUUUGUCUUCAUGACACAGAGGGAGAAGAGCUUGGCGAGCCUGUGCAUAUGGUUAGCUUGCAGAGACCUUUGGCUCCUGCUGGCCUUUGACCUCAGCGUUUCAAUCAAGGCAGCAUGAGGCUGUGAACAGGGCCACCUCUUAGCAUCCAGUAACUGCAGCUCUUAAAGAUCACAAGCCAAAUACAGAGCAAAUAAAGACAUACAUCUUUUUAAAGACACCAAAUACGGGAUUUCAGCAGAUUGUAGGUGACUAAUAUAAAUGCUGGAAGUCUGGCACAAUGCUGAUACAAAUCUGAAAAUCCAAAGUGAUUCACACCCUAGCCUUUGGCACACCUUGCAUCCCAUAUGCUGACAUUUCACACCCUCUGGUCCCCUUUGACCCACAGUCCUUUUUCUGCCCAUCUGAACUCAGCCCACUGCAUAUUUAUUUCCAAAUGAACAGGCACAAACCAACCUGAGCUCCUCACAGAACAGUACCGACAACCCUUUUCACCACAGCUCGAGGUAUGGACAGCCAUAUGGAUCUGUGGAACACAUCAGAGAUCUUGCAACCAGCAUUUAUCCUUCUUGCCAUCUUUCACACCAAUCAAGGAGCUGGAGCAGUGCCGCUGGGUAGGAAAAAAGAACUCAAAUGCAGGAGCAAAACCCUAAGAGCAGGGAGCUGCAGCAUUCCCCAGGGAACUAAGGAUUUGGUCCUUCCUUCUCAGGAUCAUUUCUGCAUUCCUGGGGAUGAGUGAGAACUUCACCUACCAGUAGAAAUCUCUGCUCUCUUCCUAGCCCAGCGCAGAGCUCUCACUGCAGGGGUAGGUUACACGCUUGAAUAAAGAAUCAAAUCUUACUUUCUUAAUUGCUGCCUGAAACAAAUGGAAUCAAAACCCAAAAAAACUAAAAGUGGGCAUUGAAGUAAGUUUAUUUGUCAAAAACUCUGACAAAGAGAGAACUUUCCCACAUUUCUAUACAAACUUCAGUGUAAUUGCUCUGGAACCAGCACACUUUCUCCAGCCAAAAUCAUAGAAUCAUAGGAUGGCCUGAGUUGAAAAGGACUACAGUGAUCAUCCAGUUUCAACCCUCCUGCUAUGUGCAGGGUCGCCAACCACCCGACCAGGCUGCCUAGAGCCACAUCCAGCCUUGAAUGCAUCCAGAGAUGGGGCAUCUUCAGCAUUACCAAGUGAUGGUGCACAUGCAUGAGGCCAGAGGAAGGCUGGAACCCCCUGGUGAGGGGAGACUGUGGCUGGGGAGCAGAGAGGGGUGUAGAGCUGUAUCCUGGGCUCAGCCUGAAGGAUGCACACAGACCAUGGCUGACCACUGUUGUACCCACAUCAAGUCCAGAGAGGCCAGGAGCCGUGCUGAUGUGAGGAGUCAUCCUCUUGUAACUGCAGUUAUCAAAUUAUGCAGUCAGUGCAAGCUGCUUUCCCAGGAGGUUUACCAUCACUUUGUCCCUGUCUGCUCCAAACCUUCCUGAAGAAGGUGUUUUCCCCUCUCUAAGCAGAGCAGCAGUGGUCAUUUUCUGUGCACUUCUUUUGUGCUUCACCUGGCCAGGGGUUGCCAAUGGGCAUCAGUCACCUCUUUUUCCUCCACUGAGGCACAGAGCCAGCAGUCCUUCCAGGGAAUCUCUGCAAUCUGAGACAGCCAUAUCCCAUAAAUAAGUCAGACUCAAUUAUUUUAUAUCAAAACAGUAUCUUAGUGUUUAAUGAGUGCAACUGCCAAUACAAAGAGUCACGCAUUAUGAAUCACUAUUUUCUCCUUCCCAGCACUUUCUAAUUUCCUGCUAAGGAGACAAGCUGAAUGGGGUCAUUAAUCUGAAUUAGAAAUACUGUGACCUGCUCGGCACUUUAUCCGCUAACAUUUUCUGGCAUAGCAAUAUAGGAUGGGAUUUUGUAUUUCAGACAACAGUGGGAUGUGAGAAAUGCAGGCUCUCAUUUUAAAUAACCUCAGGAAGAAGGGUAUUUUUACUAGCAAACUCUUAAGUUUAAAUGCAGCAUAGGAUUCUUUGCCUUGGAGCUUCACAGAAGGUAAGUUGAGCAGACAGCAGAUAACAUUCUUCUUAAACAAGCUAGCCUGGGGACUUUUCUCCUCAACCUUCCAAUUAGAUAUUGGAGUACUUUUGAAAUUACAUGGAGGAAUGAGAUCAUAAAACCACUAUAAAGAGAAAUGUAAAAAUAUGAAAAGAGUGUAAGGAACAGUAACGCUCAGAAAACACAGGCAGAACAUUGUCCCUGGUCUCAUUUCCUAUUUACACUGCAAUUUUCCUCACCUGAGUCCCCAGAAGCCCUGACAACAGAUGGGUCACUCUGAAUCUACGCUCCUCAGGCAGAGCUGUGCUCUAAACUCUAUGAGAGUGCUCAAAGACAAACAUGGCAGAGCCCGAGGGGUCCGCUAUCUGAAAACAUUUAUGCAUUCAAGUUGGGCUUUCUUUUUUUAAUCCUACUUUUAUUAGACUAAAAUGGAAAGUGCGAGCUCUAGUGAUGGAGCACAGCCCCAUUGUGCAAGGCACAGAAUGAAUGCAGCCCAACAAAAACAAUACACCAGAACUGAGACCGAAGCACUGCCCGGACCUGUUGCCAGCCAUUCUACAAAGGAAUGCACUUCCCUCCAAAUAACUUUCCGCAGAUGGAUAAUCCCAGCAAAGUCAGUGGGAGUUUUCCACAGGCCUUAAGCUGCUCCUGGAAACAAGAAUUUCCAGCCUGCAGCCCAAGGCCCUGCAUUUCCAGAGCUGCUGGCAGCCGCCAGCUGGGGCUCUGCAUGGUGAGCGGCAGCGCAAGGAGAGGGAAGCGCUGGCGGAGGAUGCUGCAGCAAAGGCAGCACGUGCAUCUAGCACGACAGGGAGCAGCCAAUUCUCACUACAAAUUGUUUGGUAAUUAUUCUCCAUUCCCUGUAUACAUUUGAGAAGCCAAUAAGGUCAGAAGCCAGUAGUAAAACUUUUUUUUCUCUUCUUCAGUAAAGUCAUAAUUUUCCCCUGCCUACAGCAGUUUUACUAUGCCAAGUUCCCUUCAGCAUUUCGCUUUCCUUAGUUCUAAGUCAUCUUUCCUCCGGCCCAAACCUCUGCCUCCCAGCGUGUCAAAUUCAUCAUCGGGUUUUGAUACCACGCUAGAAAGCUGUAUUUUAUAGCACAGUUCUCAGUUUUGCAAAUCUCACUGCUAAACGUGUAUGAAGGCAGUCUACACAUUGGAGCCAAGUAAAUGAACUUGGGCUGAAGAGAUCGGUUUACAGCUGCUGAGAUUGCUGUGCUUCGGCUACUGGCUGUGUGCCGCCCUCAGGCAGGUGACAGGCACCUGUACUUCAGCAUCCUCUCAGCCUGUGCCACAGUGGAGGAGGAGGAGAAAUGUUAAUGUUGUGCUCCUGAAGCUUAUAGAUAUUAAGAAAUAGAUUUUAGAAUCUCUCCAAUUUUUGCAGAACGGAUUCCUCUGUGAAUGAGCGGCGUUGCGGUGCAACCCUUCCUCACCUUUGCCUACCACAUGGCAGGACAACAUAACAUAGAAAGCCGGUUCUUGAAGCAAGAUGAGCACUGACAGGUGGGCUGAUUUCUUUCGUUAUGGGACGUGAAGAUGUUUACGCCAUGGGAGAGUUUUCUCUUCAGUGCGUACACAUGGCAAACAAUGCAAUGUCCAGCCACAGGACAACUGAUCUCCUGUUUCUGUUCAUGUCUGCCGGUGGCAGCAGAGAGGAUGGAACUGGAGAAGAUGAAGGUGUCUGUAUGAUUGCCCACCACUUGCUUUCUUCCUAAGUUUACCCUCCCCACGGGUCUCUUUCUUGUUACUGGGAUGUUCCCAUAGAUGAUGCAACUAUUUCCUUUAAAUUAAAGGCAUUCCGUGCUGGAAAACAUUAAAGAGGGCAAAGAGACAAUUAUAAUUAAACAUCCAGUGUCAAAAAAGAGCAGGGUGGCCUUUAAAAGCCUGCUUCUACUUAGAAGUAACCUAUCUGCCGUAUAAUCAGAUCGGGCCUCCUUUUAUUCAGCAGAAAGAAUUGCAAAUGGCAGUGCUUACGACCUGUGGCUUGACCACUGUUUUAAUAUCAGGAAACAACUUGCUCUGCGCUGUGCCAGCACCGCACCGUGCUCUUUUAUUUUUUCCUAUUUUCAGCCACUGGCUGUAAAAAAAAAUAAAUUACAUUUUGGCAAACGGUGAAGAGUGCAGGAACGGCUGGUCAGCAGUCCUUCUAUUUCAGCAGCCUGGCUCUGCCAGCAGCUUUCAGGAGAGCCACCUCCUCUGCUCGAGCUUUACAGGUUGCUGCUGUCACAAAGCCUCACUCAUGGCUGUGCACCCCCAGGCCAGGCACCAGUACCUCUCGCUUGGCUUUGAGGACGGUCCAAGCAGUCAUCUCAUUGACCUUCCUCACUGCACGCUGCUAACCUUUGAGAAAUUCCAUUGUUCCUCAAAGAAAACCUCGUGAUUUUCCACUGACGCGUUCCCAGUGCUGGGCAGCACCCCUGUCCUCACAGCGGGUCGCGAGGCGUUGAGGACAACAAACCCUAUCCCCAAACAAAUUCCUUGUCCAGUUUGAAUGGUGACACCCAUCAGUACAUCCGAAACUCUCUGACAUUUCCAUAUCCCAAUAAAGUCAAGCUGUAACACAUUCUAACACAUUUUUUUUUUCCUUACGCUGCCAUCCUGUUUUUCCAAAGGAAAUACAGCAGUUCUUUUCAUGGGCUUUUUGAGGAUUUUGGAGGCUGACACGCUGCCAUGCAGUAAUUCCUAGAAAAAGGAAAGUAGAACAACUGAACAUUUGAACUCCCACAAAUAACCUCCACAAUGAUUUUCCACAUGACCCAGAAGAAUUAUUUUUAGAACCAGAAAAGUAGUUUUAUUCUCUAUUUGUACUUAAUCCCUGCGAUGUUGGAUAGGACACUCACUAAGGAUGAGCGUUAUUAUUUCUCCAUGAUGCGCCUUUGUUUGGAAAGGCUAUAAUUCUUAGAAAUACCAGCCAUGAUGAAGACAUGCUGUUCUGAGCACUGAGUAAUGCAUGGGAUGAGACAGCUUCUGCCUCCUGAGAAUUUGCAACCAAAACGGACGAAUUAGAGAAAACAAGAUGAUGGAAGUCCACUUUGCAGACAAGGGUUCUUGAGCUUCCAGCUUUGCCCCCCAUUUGGUGUGAGCAGGACAGGCCACCAACCCUGCUGGGCCUUAGGCUUCGUUCCCCGUCCAAUGACAUGUAUCUAUCAAACCUUCAGUGACCGUAACGCCACAGGGAGAUAAAGAAGGUGGUGCCUUGCACAAGGUGGUCAUACUUCCCACACUUAUUUGCUAAUCUCUUAUUUCUACAGCUGAAGGACAAUCAGCAGCCAACGCCAGAUGCUGAGUAAGCAGCUGUUCUGUACGACACGGCACAGAGCUCUCAUUUGCAUGCUGCAGCAAAUGAAGCCAUACAUUCUAUUUAUUGUAAAAGCCCUUUACUAUAUACAUCAUAUGCAAAAAUAACACAAGUUCUGGUGCAAGCAACUGAAGUGCAUAGCAGCAAAUGGUCAUGGAGGAGCAAAGGAGAUGUGGACAGUGUGAUCUAUUAAGUCUCAAGAAAAUGCUGCUGCUCUCCACAGAGGGGUGAUUUUCUUACCAAUUAGUUUUUGGUGGGAUAGAAUAGGGUCCGUGCAUUGAAAAGCUCUGUUCAUGUAUUAUAGAAGUGUAAUGCAUAUAACUGUGAGAUCAAAUACAAAUGCUCUGGCAAGUAGAAGCCCCACCAAAUACCUCAGCAACUAUUUCAAUAGCUAUUUUAGUAGCUAACAAUACACAUAAUCCGCACCUAUAAGUGCUCAUGUAUUUCUGGUACCAUCUCUAGAACUGGUAACAAGCACUUUGGGGUUUCAUCCGAAGUAGUGCAACACCUCAGAAACCUAUUAAAUGUGCCAUGUCAUCUCUCCUCAUGACACCUGUCACACGACACUGCUUAUUUUAAGUCAUUUUCACCCAGAGGGUGGUGAGGCACUGGAACAGCUUGCCCAAGUAGGUUGUGGAUGCCCCAUCCCUGGAGGCAUUCAAGGCCAGGCUGGAUGUGGCUCUGGGCAGCCUGGUGUGGUGGUUGGCGACCCUGCACAUAGCAGGGGGUUGGAACAAGAUGAGCACUGUGGUCCUUUUCAGCUCAGGCCAUUCUAUGAUUCUAUGAUGUGUAUUAAUGUCCACAUUACAGAAGGUUAACUCCCUGUUCUCCUCAUUCUGUGGGUAGAAGCAGCUACGUGAUAGACUGUAGGAGUGUUGGGAUCAGCGUGGAACCACAUCUCCUUAACAAUAUGCAGGGCAGCUCAGCGUGCAGCCUUUCACAGACAUUCAGUUGCUGUGGACACACAUGGGAAUAUCCUCAGAACACAUCUGACAGACAAAACAAAAAUAUCCCAUCAGCCCUUCUUCAUUUCCCCCCUUCCAUGAGCCCUGCUCUGCCCCGUCCUGGAGAAAAUCAGAUUACUUUUCACACAACGUGUUGUGCCACUGCUGUUGGGUUACCCUGGCGGGGAGCAGGCUGUGGUGGAAGCUGGCACUCAGCAGGCACCAAGCAGCUCAAGCAGUCCCAUCCACAGCUCCAUGUCUACGUGCAGCAUCGACAUCCUCAGUUUGGUUUGCUUAGAAGGCUCUCGUCUUUAUCUGAUUUCUUUUCCUCCCUCCUGGGCAGCAUGUUCUCAUUUAGGCAAAUAGCAUUCUAGUUCUUUAAUUACAAUGCAGCAUAAUCAGAAACAAUUGGACAGGCAUCACCGAGGCACAAGAUAGAACAGCUUGUAACACAAGCCACGGUAUUAAGGCUGUAGACGAUUUUCAUUUAUUUCUUUAUUAAGGAACAUAAAUGAGGCCCUAAAUUAUUUGGAGAUGCUUAAAGAAUAUAGGUAUGAGCACUUGGUGAGUUAAUCACAUCCAGACAGAGGUCUAUUGGUAAUUUCUUUAAUUACAGUACAACUAAUCAAACACGGGAAACUCAAAAGAAUGGGCUGGUUCCUAUGGAUUAGGCCGCAGGGGUCCCAUCUCAUUUCAGCGACUUAACUCACAAUUUCAAGUAACGUAUUUUCAGCCCCAACUGCAGAACGCAAACUAAGCUGCACAGCAGAUGGUGAGGUUACCAUACCAUUUUCUGUGGUUUUACUUAAUACGGCUACAGCUGAGGUUUGGUGAAAAGAGAGCAUCAGCGAUAAGGUUAUCGAACGGGGCCUCCUUCUAUGCCGUUAGUACAGUCAGUUCAGCCCCGCUGCAAAAAAAUAAAUUCAUAUGCUCAUAGAAGUGAACUGGUUUCAAUCUUUCUCCAAAAGAGCAAAUAUAAUGAUCAAACAAAUGCAGCUGUAUGAGCUGCUUCUUUUAGCUGCUUUAAGGCAUUUCUGUUCAAGACUGAAACUUCCUUUCUUUAUAUCAUUACUUAGUUAUGUUUAUUUAGGCUUUGUCAAGUAUAAAAUUAAUUACUGUCAUUAGCUUAUGGUUUUCAUGAAUUGUAAUCUAAUUCGUUUUCUAAUUAUUUUAGCAUGAUUUUUUUCAUAUUUCUAGAAGUCUUCCUAUAAAAUAAUUAUAAGCUUAUGCUUGGCUAAUUCCGACAUAUAAAAAGAAUGAGACCAGUUAAUCAGCAGUGGAAAUCAACUCCUGCUAGAGAAGACCUAAAGAAUCUUAAACGCAUUCACAGUGACACGUGGAAUAAUAAUUACUUUAACAUGGCACUGUAAUGGAGGAGGUAACAGAGUAUAUUACAAUGCAUGAAAAUAAUACCCUGCCUUUAAUCCAACAUAUGGUUUUCAUGAAAGAUGAACUUAAAUUACAGAGCAACCAUGAAAAAAAAAUUAAAAAGUCAAGCAAGUGAACACAGGGACAGACAAUUUACUGCCUUAAUAUCAAUGCAGAAGGAAAAAUAUCUUCCUGGCAAAGCCAAUUCACACAAGGAUGAAAAGUCAAACUUCAGGGAAAUUCCCUUCAUUAAACAAAGCAAUUGGAAAGAAUGUAAGUGCAGUCCUUUGCUCUCCUGUCUUGAAAUAGAAAGGAAUUGCACAAACACUUUCAGAUAUAUCUAGGUUUUCAUGGUUAGAUUGUCAAUUGUAUUUCUGCAUCUUGAUUCUCCAAAGAACUUUGUAACUUCCUUGCUAAAGCUCAGUCAUAGUCCAACUAAUUCUCACCUUGAAUUUUCUAGGAGCCUGCUGACCUCAGGUGCACACAGUUAAUUCUUCUUAGCUAAUUUAUCUUAUCCUUCUUUUCAGCUAAUUCAAUUACUUCUUGAUUAGUGAUACAAGACAAGGAAGAAAUUAAAACUAACACAACAUUAAUGAGCAGCAGCAGAAAAUUCACUUAAAGGCUUUCCUGGGAGAAGCCUUUGGAAGACCCCGAUGACACAAGGAAUGAAGGGGAACGUCAGUGCUGUUCCCCCAAGUGGACCUGACACAGUGGGAUUGGCUGUGCGCUGAAACACUCACCUGAGCUGAUCUUGUUCAGGCUGCAGCCCGCGCUAUGUGCAGACAACACCAAGCUGAGUGUUUCAGUGGUGCAACAGAGGAAGGGAUGUCAUCCAGAGGAACCUGGAAAUGCCUGAGAAGUGAGCCCGUGUGAACCUACAAGGUUCAACAAGGCCAAGUGCAUGCUGUCGCGCUUGGGUCAGUGCAAUCCCAGAUAUGUGUACAGACUGAGAGAAGAACUCCUUGAGAGCAGCCCUGUGGACGAGGACAUGGGGGUCCUGGCGGACCAAAAGCUUGACAUGAGCCAGCAGUGUGCAGUUGCAGCCCAGAAGGCCAACUGUGUCCCGGGGUGCAUCAACAGGGGCCAGGUUGGAUGGAGCCCCAGGCAGCCUGAGCUGUUGGGGAGGAACCUGCCCAUAGCCAGGGAUGGGACUGUGUGGGCUUUAAGGUCCUUUCCAAUCCAAGCCAUUCUAUAAUUCUAUGAAGUUUCAGUGCCUCUACAUGUAGCAGGAUACCCUGCAUAGGUAUCCUAUGCACGUCUCCAUAGGUCUGUGCACAUCUGCUCUCUUUGGCACAUUCAGCAUCACCUCUGUUGCUCAAGGCAGUGCCUGCAAUAUGAUUUCUCAUGUGCCUCAGCUUUAUGUGCCCAGCACCACAUACUACACAGGGUGUCACACCAUGACCAUUGUCUCUCCUAUUCCUGUCUGUAGAGUCACCCUGCAGUGUCCUCUCUCUGCUGCAGAGCGUGGCCAUGGCCCCAGUACCAGGAAUGUUCCACUCCUGUGCAAACAGCGCUGCCUUCCAUGUCUGCUAGUGAUCCUGAUGAUACUGCAUCCAUUUCUAGGGGUCAGAGAAGCAAUCAGACAAUUUAAGAAAUAAUUACUGCUUACCGGUUUCUGCAAAGGAAUGAGACAUUCGUUAUAAGGUAAUUAUGGGAGGGACUUUUUCAUGACUUUUGUUGAAGGAACAGCAAUAAUUAAUCAUAAAGGAGAGGUCCCAGUCCACCCCUCCACGUUACCUGACUCUCCGACUACAGUUCCAAGCUACAAAUACCAAGUUAGAAUAAAUUAGUUCUGCCUAUUUUCAGUACAAGACAGUAUAUUUCCUCUUACAAAAAAUAGUUUUAAAACCCUCCUGGAGCAAAUGAGUUGAGGAAGAAGCCAGGUCUGUGGUGGAGGACAUAGACCUCUUCCAACAGCUAUGAACACCUGCUCCUUUUUGGAGAGUUGUGUAAUUUUCCUGAGUGCAAAUUCCCCAAUUAAGAAAAAAGAAAUGCAAAGAGUGACACUUCAUCAUCUCAUACAGGUAGAUGAAAAUCAAAACACCAGUGCCUCAGGGAAGCACUGAUCUCUGGUAUACACCAUCAAUAGAUAGCUAAAGACUAAACUGACAGUUAACUCAGAAAUUUGCUUAUUACUGAAGUGUUGGCUUAGGAUUAACCAAGUUAAGCUGCAGCACUGCAUACGAGUCCAAAUGCUUUGCUGUAUAUGCAUUCACAAGGAGCUUUGCUGGCUACAGAAAGGUUUAAUCAAAUACACCGAGGGUUCCCAAAACGUUCGAACAGAUACUUAGGCAGAACAUUCCUUCUACUAACUGUGCAUUUAGUUGUGGUGAGCUAAAUGCAGUGUUGCUGCAAAAAGUAGAGUUAUAAAAAAUACAGAAAGGCAUUCUUUUCUACCAUUUACAAUUGCGCAUGCACAGAAGCAGUUUACCUAAGUGGGGUAGCAUUCAUCUAGCUGUCCAUUCACAGCAUAUAAUGUUGUUAUCUUCACCACAACUAAAUGAUGCUGCAAAGUGUGAUUCUGGAUAAAGAGCAGUGGGGAAAGCUGUUGAACCCUACAAAAAUAAUCAUUCUGGAAAUAUGAAAAUGUGUCUUCUAUCACAGGCAAAAUAUAAUAAAGAAUACUUGCAGCCGGAUCAGUGGACAGUGAAAAGGAUUUUGCAGUUUGCCACAUAAUACUGCAGCCUGAAAUACUUCAGCAAUCAGAGCAGGAAGGUGUCUCCUGGUGCCACGCUCAGAGUCAUGCACGUACUCCUCCAGUUAGUAGCUGAAGAGCCAAGUACAUCAUUGAUUGAGGGGCCUUGAGCACCAGAGCAUGUUUCAAAUGAAAAGCUCUACACCCUGCCUCAAGAAUGUGUUUUUCUCUAGUGGCAAUUUGAGACACCCCACAUCCUUCAGUACUGUGCAGCUCUGCUCUCUUAGUGUUCUCUAACAUUACCAUAAACUUGGCUUGAAAAGAGACCCCUUUAAUCAAAGCUUACUUAACAACUGGGCUUUUGGAAUUAGGGGAUUGCCAAAGGACACAACUUAGUGUGACAAUGGUGAAUAGAAAUGACUUUGGCUUAAUGAGAAGUAUAAAUUCUGAUCCACAAGGAAACAACCACCUUGUGCCAACUGGGUAAGCAGAGCUUACACAGACAUUCAACACAUAUGAAAGUCUCAAAUCCAAUCUUUGAAUUACAAAAUUAUCAUAGAAAUGGAGAUGCACAGGUAAAUAUGACUGCUUCAUGCAAUGUCAUGGAUUAUUUUUUUGGUUAAGCCUUUGAAGCACAAUUUUGAGCAACACCUUUUGAUUGGGCUCCUCUACUAUUUAAAUGGUUUGCAUAUUGGUUGAAGAAGCCUGAUCAGUGUUGAGCUGUCACUGCCAUGUCCUCAUGACGUGUUGCAGACAAGUGUUCCAGUAGCUUCCAUGGCAAAGAACGUGCCAGCAGCAUCUCUUGCCAACACAAGUGAGGUCCUGCUCAGGCCACAUGGUGCCAUGCACUGCAGUCAUUCUGCAUGUAGACCUUGUAGGCUUCACGAGCUCUUUAAGGAACAGCAUUUCCUAGCAAAGCACAUUCGUAACUCUCCCAGAAACAAGGGUUCCAGUAUGACUCUGGUCAAAACCUGGUCCAAAGGAAGGUAUGCUUAUUUAUAUUCUGGAGACAGAUUUGAGCCCUCAGUAUCUUAUUUCCCAUAUUAACUUCAACAAAGCGUGCAUUUUCCAAGGCUUGCUAAUGAGCCCAGCAUACUUAGGAAAAAAUUUGAAAUAUACAAACAAACUCACUGUCAGAUGGGUUUUUCCAAGGCCUGGACUGAAGCUCAGGGAAGUAGGAAAUAAAUGUUAUGUCCCUCCAAAUCUCUUACAAACUCUGACGAAGAAAAAAGAAAAAGCAACCUGAUUCUCAGGCCAAAUCUCCCAGCUGCUUUUGCAAUUCAUGACGGGUCUGGCUGAAGAGUCGGUUCAUUUUUCUAAAUCCAGUUCCUUCUCACAAAAAAAAAAUGUUAUUUAAUAACAUUCAAAUCCUGCUUAUUUUGAGCUUAAAAAACAAACUUGGUUAUAAGACAGUGCCUUUCCCUGCAACGCACUUUCACUCAUACGUGAAAACACCACUUUGAUGUUUCUUUUGGAAACAGCACGACUCUGCCAGAAGCAGAGCUGUUACUCAGAGAUCAAGACGUUUGAGAAGAAAAUUAUCUAAUAAAGGUAGAAUGAUAAGGAAAGUAAAAUGCUGGUGAUCAGUGAAACUGCCAAAGCGUGCAAGGCAGUAAAGCUCUAGGAACUACGUGUCAGAAUACAACCGAUGGGUGAGCAACCAGCGCAAGCUCCAAGUGCCAAAACAUACAAGUGUCAGUUUUUGAAGGAUAUAUUUCACCAUCUAUCCUGUGUUUCAUCAGUGCUAACCAGCACUGAAUUCUCAAGGACUCUUCUACCUUCUUGCAGGUGUAGCAUUUUCAGCAAUUCUCUACCUAGCAAACGUUUCUGUUUCCUUUACAAAUAACAGGGAUUUUGUACCUAGGCUGUUGUAAGCAGAAAUCAGAAAGCAUUUCUGCACACAGCUCUUCAUGCAGUUGUGUAACUCUGGGUUCGAAUACACGUGUAAGCUGUAAUCCAACUCCUCUGAGCAUGUCCUUCUUGCUGUUCGAUUUUUCCUGUCAAAACACACAAAAAUAACCAUAUAGGAACCGAAUGUGUUUCUCAGAAAUGCAUAUGCUAGGUUUGCCACAAAGCCUUUUUCCACUCCCAAGAUCCAUUACUCAAAAUAGCUGUAGCUCUGAAGUACUGCCAAAAGACUGGCAAGUCACAAAGCAGCUUUCAUAUGUGCUCCGUUUCUCACCUCCCAAGUGAGGGUGAAGGGGUCUGGAGAGGUCCUGCGCAGAUCAAACCUUUUUUCUGCCACAGGUAGCAGAAUCCUGUCUGUAUGCGGCUUCUUCUCAUAAUAAGCUCAUCUGUAAGUACGCUGCCUGUGCUGAAAAGGAGUAAAUAUUAGAACUGCUGACAUUUUAUAAACUUCAGCUGAAGGAAUGGGCCUCAGGCAGGGUAUCUGUAAUGCCACUGCUUACAAGGAGACAGCCACUCUCAGCUCGCAGACAAGUGCACACAGUUUUGGUUGGUGAAAACUUAGGGAACAAGUUAGAACGCAUUACAUUAAAUCACACCAGCAUUUGCAAACUGUUCGUGAAAGGAGAAGCCUACUAAGGCCAAACUGAGUCACCUGAAAUGGGACUUGUCACCAGACAAGCAGGCUUAGAUGAAAACUUGCUUCAUCAGACUAAGUUCUCUGGCUAGACAUUGUUCCAUGCUUCCUGAGCAUGUCCUCACUUUCCAACAUGCAGCACAGCCACAGUCACCUUCCUGUUCUCUUCCAUGAACAUGAGACAAGAGGCCUCCUUGGUAAGCCAGGCAUUUGGAGACUGAAGGGAGGAUGGAGACAGCAUGGACUCCAUCACGCAGCAAACCUUCCUAGGUGUCCCAGAGUGCCACACCACGGCACGAUGUGAGCCAGGUGCCAUCCAACACAUGCAGGAACACGUCAUCCUGAGGGAGGGAAACAGCAGCAACCUGGAGCUCAGCAGCUCACGUCGCCUCUCCUCAGAAGCCAGUUCUGUGGUAUUUCAGGGAACAGGGCUCCAAGCCAAGCCCCAGAUCUAUGGGACGAUGAGGACUUUGAGAAUUCCAGAGUUUGCCGCUCCAAAAAUACACUGUUUGACCAGCCUACUGUCAGAGCGAUUCCUACUAAAACAAACAUUUAACAUGUGCAAAUACUAAAAGAUGAAUUUCCUGUUUGAACAGUCAGCACAACAGAAUAUUGCCAAAAGAAUCAUUGCAACAUCUGUCAAUGUAACCAACCAGCUACCAGUCAGAAAACAGGACAGCCACAGUUUGUCAUCAAGAGGAAGAAGGAACGUCCCAGCAAAGACUUCCUAUAUCCAAACUAGCCCACACAGACAAAUGGAGGAUAGGGUGCAAGCAAGACGGUCACUGGCAUCUCCUGCCCUUCCCUUUGUAGCCAAGUUAGCCAACAACCAGCUGAGCAGUGAAAGAACCUUUGGUAUGCGGCUGGAGGAGCACAGGAAAGCAGGAAAGGAACCAUCCUCUGAGCAGGGAUGAGUUUCAGCCUCGUUCUACCACCAUGGCUCUGCCCUCCCCAGGUUUACACCAAGUGCUUAUGAUCACAGUGCCACAUGUCCACAACAGAUAUGCAAAGAUGUUGCAGUGAUGGCAAUGACAAGUGACUAAUAUCAACAAGAUACCUGGCUGCCAUUUCUUUUUAUAUAAAUACUUCCCAUGUCUUUGCUCAUUUUCUUAGCAUCCACAUCAUUUGAAUAGAUGCAAGUCAUUAAUGGGGCAGAUCACAAGCUUUUCAUCUGUGACCAAAGUUUUUAAAAGCAAGAACGACAAAACAACACAGUACUUUGAAUGAACUGACAAUAAAAAUCAUUACAAGCUCACAGCAAGUUGAAAUACUUUGUUUCAUUUUUAACAGUUUUUAAUAAAAAAGGCUACCAGACCAACCAAACAAGGGCAGGACAGUG